UUGAAAUUAAAAGCUGGCCAAGCUCAAACUAAGCCUAGCUGGCUUAGGGUUUAGUGGAAGUUCCUUUCCCCAAUAAAUAUUGCAGAGGCAGCCAAUCAGUUAGUGUACUUAUUGAACUGCUUUUGGAUUCCUAUCAUAGUGGCACGAGGGCUGUGAGAACAAGUUUGUUAAAAUGUGGCAGGGUGCAGCCAGACGUUCUUCAUUGUUGGUGAAAGGUGGGUUUUAAUUUUACUGGAGCUGGUGGUUCCAGUGUGGAUUGCCGGGCAAUGCUUUCUUGAAUUUGGAGGAUUGGCGUGCUUAAAUCCAAAGAGUUUAGGGUGGAGACUGACCAGCGCUUCAGCAAGUCAGGGCAGACUUCCGAGGAAUAUAAACAAGCUGAUUGGUUUGCCUGCUCCUUUUGGACUACAGUGUUUUUGUUGAUACUACUUCAGUGCCAGGUCAUGCAAGCAUUUUAUUUGAUAGCUUCUUCAUGUGCUUAUAGACUCAAUGCAUUGUACUUGACAAUAGAAGCAUUGUUUUUUUUUUUUUUUGGGAAAUUUGG